rnacentral:pre_miRNA from 1 species
CCUCCGAUUACUAUUAUCAUAAAAAGAAACAAGUUUUUAAAUUCGUUCAAUAAAUGAUGUAUCUAGUCUAUAAUAAUGACUAGAUACAUUAUUUAUUCAAUUAAUUUAAAAUGUUAUUUUUUUGCUUAUAAUAGUGACCGGAGG